AUUGAACGCUGGCGGCAGGCUUAACACAUGCAAGUCGAGCGGGGGAAGGUAGCUUGCUACCGGACCUAGCGGCGGACGGGUGAGUAAUGCUUAGGAAUCUGCCUACUAGUGGGGCACAACAUCUCGAAAGGGAUGCUAAUACCGCAUACGUCCUCCGGGAGAAAGCAGGGGAUCUUCGGACCUUGCGCUAAUAGAUGAGCCUAAGUCGGAUUAGCUAGGUGGUGGGGUACAGGCCUACCAAGGCGACGAUCUGUAGCGGGUCUGAGAGGAUGAUCCGCCACACUGGGACUGAGACACGGCCCAGACUCCUACGGGAGGCAGCAGUGGGGAAUAUUGGACAAUGGGGGGAACCCUGAUCCAGCCAUGCCGCGUGUGUGAAGAAGGCCUUAUGGUUGUAAAGCACUUUAAGCGAGGAGGAGGCUACUCUAGUUAAUACCUAGGGAUAGUGGACGUUACUCGCAGAAUAAGCACCGGCUAACUCUGUGCCAGCAGCCGCAGUAA
rnacentral:rRNA from 1 species